rnacentral:rRNA from 1 species
GAUGAACGCUGGCGGCGUGCCUAAUACAUGCAAGUCGAGCGAACAGACGAGGAGCUUGCUCCUUUGACGUUAGCGGCGGACGGGUGAGUAACACGUGGGUAACCUACCUAUAAGACUGGGAUAACUUCGGGAAACCGGAGCUAAUACCGGAUAAUAUUUCGAACCGCAUGGUUCGAUAGUGAAAGAUGGCUUUGCUAUCACUUAUAGAUGGACCUGCGCCGUAUUAGCUAGUUGGUAAGGUAACGGCUUACCAAGGCAACGAUACGUAGCCGACCUGAGGGGGUGAUCGGCCACACUGGAACUGAGACACGGUCCAGACUCCUACGGGAGGCAGCAGUAGGGAAUCUUCCGCAAUGGGCGAAAGCCUGACGGAGCAACGCCGCGUGAGUGAUGAAGGUCUUCGGAUCGUAAAACUCUGUUAUUAGGGAAGAACAAACGUGUAAGUAACUGUGCACGUCUUGACGGUACCUAAUCAGAAAGCCACGGCUAACUACGUG